rnacentral:lncRNA from 1 species
CUCACUAUCAAUUACCAUACAUCUAUAUAUUUUAUGGGACUUAUCUUAUCGGACACCUUAUUGGCGUCCCUCCUUGCUGGUGGAUCACAUCGUGCUGCUGGAGCAGGAGCCGAGGGGAAUGAGAGAGUGACACUUCCUUUUUCCUCUUCUUAAAUAUGAGUCUCUUUGCUAUGUCACUUCCUGUCUGGAACACCACUUCUCUACUACAUUUCCCAGAAUCCUCUUUGACUCCUAGUCCAGCCUAACCUGCUGUCUCAUUGGCCAAGCAAGUACAUUAUUUAUAAACAUACACAGAAGUAUUUCCCCCAUCACAGGUGGUGCUCUUAGUGGCUGAAACUGAGUGCAUAUCCUGUCAGAACCUCAAGGACAUGCCAGUGCAGAUGUCUGGACACCAGCAAGUAGCAAAGGCCUACUUGGUAUUCAAGAAUCUGUUGGCACUGGUUUUUAUGUGCACUAUGUAUCUCAGUACCUCAUUCUGUCACAGCUAGGAGAAUGUGCUUUGAGGUACAUUUUCCUCAAGGGAUUUAUAAUCACUGGUUGGUUCCAGAAUGUCAGAGCUGGCAUAGGUAGGUCUCCAGAUAUUAUUGUCAGAGUUUAAUUGGACAUGUGUUUUCAGCUGGAAUAUAAAAGUGUUUCCAGAAUAUUUUGAUAAUAUUUUAAGGGCUCAGUAGACAUUUUUCUCUGUGACUAGAUUCUUGCUAUUAAUGCAAAUUCUAGUGAAAGAUAUUUUCUUUUGAUAAAUGAUUUUCCACACCUUUGGAUUUUUGUUUUCUUGUGUAAAAAGGUUAUUGUUUCCCUGGAGUUUU